rnacentral:rRNA from 1 species
AGAACGAACGCUGGCGGCAUGCCUAACACAUGCAAGUCGAACGAGACCUUCGGGUCUAGUGGCGCACGGGUGCGUAACGCGUGGGAAUCUGCCCUUGGGUUCGGGAUAACAGUUGGAAACGACUGCUAAUACCGGAUGAUGUCUUCGGACCAAAGAUUUAUCGCCCAAGGAUGAGCCCGCGUAGGAUUAGCUUGUUGGUGAGGUAAGAGCUCACCAAGGCGACGAUCCUUAGCUGGUCUGAGAGGAUGAUCAGCCACACUGGGACUGAGACACGGCCCAGACUCCUACGGGAGGCAGCAGUGGGGAAUAUUGGACAAUGGGCGAAAGCCUAGAUCCAGCAAUGACCGCGUGAGUGAUGAAGGCCUUAGGGUUGUAAAGCUACGUUUACCCGGGAUGAUAAUGACAGUACCGGAGAAUAAGCCCCGGCUAACGUCCGUGACCUAGCAGCCGACGU